rnacentral:rRNA from 1 species
AUUGAACGCUGGCGGCAGGCCUAACACAUGCAAGUCGAGCGGAGCGGCUGACGGGUUAGUAAUGCCUAGGAAUCUGCAUGUGAGUGGGGGAGAACGUCCGGAAACGGGCGCUAAUGCCGACUACUAUCAGAUGCGCCUCGGUCGGAUUAGCUAGUUGGUGGGGUAAGGGCCUACCAAGGCGACGAUCCGUAACUGGUCUGAGAGGAUGAUCAGUCACACUGGAACUGAGACACGGUCCAGACUCCGACGGGAGGCAGCAGUGGGGAAUAUUGGACAAUGGGCGAAAGCCUGAUCCAGCCAUGCCGCGUGUGUGAAGAAGGUCUUCGGAUUGUAAAGCACUUUAAGUUGGGAGGCGUUACCAACAGAAUAAGCACCGGCUAACUUCGUGCCAGCAGCCGCGGUAAUUC